rnacentral:rRNA from 1 species
GACGAACGCUGGCGGCGUGCCUAACACAUGCAAGUCGAACGGAACUGUUUUGAAAGAUUUCUUCGGAAUGAAUUUGAUUUAGUUUAGUGGCGGACGGGUGAGUAACGCGUGAGUAACCUGCCUUCAAGAGGGGAAUAACAUUCUGAAAAGAAUGCUAAUACCGCAUGUCAUAUCGGAACCACAUGGUUUUGAUAUCAAAGAUUUUAUCGCUUGAAGAUGGACUCGCGUCCGAUUAGUUAGUUGGUGAGGUAACGGCUCACCAAGACCGCGAUCGGUAGCCGGACUGAGAGGUUGAACGGCCACAUUGGGACUGAGACACGGCCCAGACUCCUACGGGAGGCAGCAGUGGGGGAUAUUGCGCAAUGGGGGCAACCCUGACGCAGCAACGCCGCGUGAAGGAUGAAGGUUUUCGGAUUGUAAACUUCUUUUAUUAAGGACGAAAAAUGACGGUACUUAAUGAAUAAGCUCCGGCUAACUACGUG